UAGGGAAUCUUCCACAAUGGACGAAAGUCUGAUGGAGCAACGCCGCGUGAGUGAAGAAGGGUUUCGGCUCGUAAAACUCUGUUGUUAAAGAAGAACAUAUCUGAGAGUAACUGUUCAGGUAUUGACGGUAUUUAGCCAGAAAGCCACGGCUAACUACGUGCCAG
rnacentral:rRNA from 1 species